GAGUGGGGCUGGGAACGGAACCAUAUCAGUCAGAUCAAACGCCUUUGAUUAACGUUGGACUGAUGACUGAUCACGCAUGGAAUGGUCCGUUUGUUCCUGGACUAAAGUACUCCGUGACGGUGGAGGCGUGCAAUAGAGCAGAUAUGUGCACUAUAAGAUCAUCCGACGGCCUAGUCGUGGAUAACUCACCUCCUAUACGUGGAAUCGUAUACGUUGGACCAGGAAAUGGUCAUAACAAAUAUCUCUCACAAAGGUCUUCCAUUCAGAUCAGAUGGGAUGAGUUCGAGGAUCCACAUUCGAGCAUUGAUCAUUAUGAAGUUUGUGUGUCCACAAUAAACGGCGUUUGUGACGUAGUCAAACGUUCCAAUGUUCUUUUUCACUCCAACAUUUUUAAAUCGAAUAUUACACUACCGACCAAUGAUCCCUUAACAGCGACAGUUUGGGCAACAAACGGCGUCGGCAUGUGGGUUUCACAGGUAUCGGACACAUUUAUUAUAGACGACAUACCGCCUAUCGUAAAGGAGGCACCACAAUUUAAGAAUAUUCAAACAGUGCAAGGCCAACAUUACCAAUGGGACAAAUCCAUUAUUAAACUACAGUGGCAUUUUUCAGACGAUAUCAGUCCAAUUAUUCGUCAUGAAAUAUCUUUAAAAACUCAUCACGAUGGUCACACGCCCGUCGAGCAUGUCGUUCUGGGAUCCGAACGUACAUUGUCUAUUAGUUUAGACGGAAAUAACUGGCUACAUAGCGGGGAUACAUAUUAUGCAAUUGUUACAGCAUGCAAUGCCGCUGGCCUUUGCACUUCUGAAAGAACAAAUGAUCUGUUGAUCGACUCCACUCCGCCGCAUCUCGGAGGUUUUUAAAGAACCCUUGUUUUGGACCGAGUAUAAAAACGCAUACGGUCACAUAUACUCUAAUCUAACGCUCACAUGGUAUGGUUUUUAUGACCCUGAAUCUAGAGUUGAAAAGUAUUUUAUUACAGUAUCUCGAAAAUACAGUGACACUGAACUAUCUGAAGGCGUAUUCACAGUUCUUGCAUCUAAUGACACCAAGUUGGACAUGCAAUCAACACUAGGACUUUCUGAAUUAUUGUCACCGGGUGAGUCGAUAAUACUGUCGUUUGGGCACAAAAUCGUGUUGGACUUAAUAGCUCCACCGCAAGAGUAACAGUUGAUGUUUUAUCAUCUAGUCAUAUCGUCUUAAAUAAAUCAGGUACGCUCGAAAUAAAGAAACAUUCGUGCGACAUCCAUUUUUGCAAUAAGGAUUGUACGUGCGCUGUGUUAGGUCGUCCCUGUGUAGAAGUACCUACCAACGCUACAUGUAACAAAAUAUCGUAUUCAGAUGCGGAAACGCAAAACCUUCCAACAUUUACUGUUAGCGCGGGUUUAAUGGAUGAAAAUAUAACAAUGUCAGCAUCGUCGGCUUGCAUUACCGGGCAUUGGUUUAGCAAUUUUAGUGGAAUA